rnacentral:rRNA from 1 species
CCUACGGGAGGCAGCAGUGGGGGAUAUUGCACAAUGGGCGAAACCCUGAUGCAGCGACGCCGCGUGAGUGAAGAAGUAUUUCGGUGUGUAAAGCUCUAUUAGCAGGGGAGAAAAUGACAGUACGUGACCAUGAAGCCCCGGCUAACUACGUGACAGCAGCCGCGGUAAUACGUAGGGGGCCAGCGUUAUCCGGAUUUACUGGGUGUAAAGGGGGCGUAGACGGUUAUGUAAGUCUGGUGUGAAAGCCCGGGGCCCAACCCCGGGACUGCUUUGGAAACUGUUUAACUUGAGUACAGGAGAGGCAGGCGGAAUUCCUGGUGUAGCGGUGAAAUGCGUAGAUAUCAGGAGGAACACCGGCGGCGAAGGCGGCCUGCUGGACUGAAACUGACGUUGAGGCUCGAAAGCGUGGGGAGCAAACAGGAUUAGAUACCCCUGUAGUC